AUGGUGUUUGUUGAAAUGCCCCAAAGAUGUUUGGAUGUGGAUAAAUGGCUUAUGAGUGAGAACCUAAACGAAGUUGCUUCAAUUCUGGUUUUCUUUUCCACUCAACAAAGGUUCCCUUCACAUAUUAUGAGUCUAUUCAACUUUGAGAACAUGUAUAGUCGAACUGAGCAUUCCUUAGUCAAAGAUAUGAUCUAUAACUGA